CGGGGCGGGGGCGGGGUGGCGCCCAGGACGACUCCCCGGGCUCAGCUUGGCUGCCUGCCUCCUUCUUAACCAACUUGGAAAGCUGUAUUUGUUCCCAUGAUUCAGCAAACAAUGAGUACCUACUGUGUGUAGAAGCAGCAGGACAGCCUGUCAUCACUGGGAAAGAGGCCAGAAGAGCCGUUUGGCCAGGGUCUCCAAUUUAGGCUUUCAACAUUAUCUCUAAAGAAGGUUAUACAUUAUGUCGGCUCCACUGGCUGAUGGGAUCAAAGACCCUCCUUGUAUAUCCUUAAACCUGUACUCUAUUACCAGGCCACUGUGCCUGUGGAGCACUGUAAGUUCCUACCUUUUAAUAAAUUUUAUAAUUAUCUUGUGAGCA
rnacentral:lncRNA from 10 species